rnacentral:rRNA from 1 species
AUGAAAAUAUUAUAUUCCCUUAGUAGGUUCUACCACGUGGAAACGCUCUUUAAUGGAACUUUCGUUUUAGCUGGUCGUGACCAAGAAACCACCGGCUUUACUUGGUGGGCUGGGAAUGCCAGACUUAUCAAUUUGUCCGGUAAACUACUUGGAGCUCACGUAGCCCAUGCCGGAUUAAUCGUAUUCUGGGCCGGAGCAAUGAACCUAUUUGAAGUGGCCCAUUUCGUACCAGAAAAGCCCAUGUAUGAACAAGGGUUUAUUUUACUUCCACACUUAGCUACUCUAGGUUGGGGAGUAGGGCCAGGGGGGAAGUUCUAG